rnacentral:rRNA from 1 species
CCAGCCCGCUCAGAAACUUAAAGGAAUUGACGGGGGCCCCGGCACAAGUGGUGGAGCAUGUGGUUUAAUUCGAAGCAACGCGAAGAACCUUACCAGGCCUUGACAUGCAGAGAACUUUCCAGAGAUGGAUUGGUGCCUUCGGGAACUCUGACACAGGUGCUGCAUGGCUGUCGUCAGCUCGUGUCGUGAGAUGUUGGGUUAAGUCCCGUAACGAGCGCAACCCUUGUCCUUAGUUACCAGCACGUUAUGGUGGGCACUCUAAGGAGACUGCCGGUGACAAACCGGAGGAAGGUGGGGAUGACGUCAAGUCAUCAUGGCCUUUAUGACCAGGGCUACACACGUACUACAAUGGCCGAUACAAAGGGCAGCGACACUGCGAGGUGAAGCCAAUCCCGUAAAAUCGGUCUCAGUCCGGAUUGGAGUCUGCAACUCGACUCCAUGAAGUUGGAAUCGCUAGUAAUCGUGGAUCAGCAUGCCACGGUGAAUACGUUCCCGGGCCUU